ACAGUACAAACUGAUCAAGCCGAUGAAUAAAAAUUUUAUUCAUGGAGCCGGGCCAUAUUUGGCAACAGGUUAACAUAUGCCUGUGGGACAGUA
rnacentral:ncRNA from 1 species